rnacentral:misc_RNA from 1 species
GUGAAUCAUCAAAUUUUUGAACGCAAAUUGCACUCCUUGGUAUUCCGGAGAGUAUGCCUGUUUGAGGGUCAGUUUAAAUUAAAAUCGGUGUGGUUGCUGCCUUUCGUGGUGACGGACUGGAUUUGGGUCGUUUUGCCUUCGGUUCAGUGUCCUAAAAUUUUGCUUGAUCUUUUUCGAACGAAUUUAAAUGAUUUAAUGUACGUUUGCGAUAUCGAACUCUAGG